rnacentral:rRNA from 1 species
CAUGCAGUCGACGGUAACAGGCCGCAAGGUGCUGACGAGUGGCGAACGGGUGAGUAAUGCAUCGGAACGUGCCCAGUCGUGGGGGAUAACUGCUCGAAAGAGCAGCUAAUACCGCAUACGACCUGAGGGUGAAAGCGGGGGACCGAAAGGCCUCGCGCGAUUGGAGCGGCCGAUGUCAGAUUAGGUAGCUGGUGGGGUAAAGGCCUACCAAGCCGACGAUCUGUAGUUGGUCUGAGAGGACGACCAGCCACACUGGGACUGAGACACGGCCCAGACUCCUACGGGAGGCAGCAGUGGGGAAUUUUGGACAAUGGGGGCAACCCUGAUCCAGCAAUGCCGCGUGCAGGAAGAAGGCCUUCGGGUUGUAAACUGCUUUUGUCAGGGAAGAAAUCCUGUGGGUUAAUACCUCGUGGGGAUGACGGUACCUGAAGAAUAAGCACCGGCUAACUACGUGCCAGCAGCCGCGGUAAUACGUAGGGUGCGAGCGUUAAUCGGAAUUACUGGGCGUAAAGCGUGCGCAGGCGGUUUUGUAAGACAGAGGUGAAAUCCCCGGGCUCAACCUGGGAACUGCCUUUGUGACUGCAAGGCUGGAGUACGGCAGAGGGGGAUGGAAUUCUGCGUGUAGCAGUGAAAUGCGUAGAUAUGCGGAGGA